AGCACUAUUUUUAAACCUAUUGGUGGAAUUUCUUGACUGCCAUGGGUUACGCUGUAGUGCAAAAGAAUUUCCUGGCUCUUCAGAGCAUAGCUGACCUUGCUCCAUUCAGCUGGUGCUUUUCUGAAGCAAGGAACAAAA